GAUGAACGCUGGCGGCGUGCCUAAUACAUGCAAGUCGAGCGAACGGACGAGAAGCUUGCUUCUCUGAUGUUAGCGGCGGACGGGUGAGUAACACGUGGAUAACCUACCUAUAAGACUGGGAUAACUUCGGGAAACCGGAGCUAAUACCGGAUAAUAUUUUGAACCGCAUGGUUCAAAAGUGAAAGACGGUCUUGCUGUCACUUAUAGAUGGAUCCGCGCUGCAUUAGCUAGUUGGUAAGGUAACGGCUUACCAAGGCAACGAUGCAUAGCCGACCUGAGAGGGUGAUCGGCCACACUGGAACUGAGACACGGUCCAGACUCCUACGGGAGGCAGCAGUAGGGAAUCUUCCGCAAUGGGCGAAAGCCUGACGGAGCAACGCCGCGUGAGUGAUGAAGGUCUUCGGAUCGUAAAACUCUGUUAUUAGGGAAGAACAUAUGUGUAAGUAACUGUGCACAUCUUGACGGUACCUAAUCAGAAAGCCACGGCUAACUACGUGCCAGCAGCCGCGGUAAUACGUAGGUGGCAAGCGUUAUCCGGAAUUAUUGGGCGUAAAGCGCGCGUAGGCGGUUUUUUAAGUCUGAUGUGAAAGCCCACGGCUCAACCGUGGAGGGUCAUUGGAAACUGGAAAACUUGAGUGCAGAAGAGGAAAGUGGAAUUCCAUGUGUAGCGGUGAAAUGCGCAGAGAUAUGGAGGAACACCAGUGGCGAAGGCGACUUUCUGGUCUGUAACUGACGCUGAUGUGCGAAAGCGUGGGGAUCAAACAGGAUUAGAUACCCUGGUAGUCCACGCCGUAAACGAUGAGUGCUAAGUGUUAGGGGGUUUCCGCCCCUUAGUGCUGCAGCUAACGCAUUAAGCACUCCGCCUGGGGAGUACGACCGCAAGGUUGAAACUCAAAGGAAUUGACGGGGACCCGCACAAGCGGUGGAGCAUGUGGUUUAAUUCGAAGCAACGCGAAGAACCUUACCGAAUCUUGACAUCCUUUGACAACUCUAGAGAUAGAGCUUUCCCCUUCGGGGGACAAAGUGACAGGUGGUGCAUGGUUGUCGUCAGCUCGUGUCGUGAGAUGUUGGGUUAAGUCCCGCAACGAGCGCAACCCUUAAGCUUAGUUGCCAUCAUUAAGUUGGGCACUCUAAGUUGACUGCCGGUGACAAACCGGAGGAAGGUGGGGAUGACGUCAAAUCAUCAUGCCCCUUAUGAUUUGGGCUACACACGUGCUACAAUGGACAAUACAAAGGGCAGCGAAACCGCGAGGUCAAGCAAAUCCCAUAAAGUUGUUCUCAGUUCGGAUUGUAGUCUGCAACUCGACUACAUGAAGCUGGAAUCGCUAGUAAUCGUAGAUCAGCAUGCUACGGUGAAUCCGUUCCCGGGUCU
rnacentral:rRNA from 1 species